ACGACUAAUUGAAUUAUGUUCGGAUUGAAGUUAGGAUACCAAAAAUCAGCUAAAUUCGCGUACGAAUACCCACAUUUCCGGUUCGAGUUAUCCAUAUAAACUCGACCCAUUCAUCACCCCUAAAAAUCUUACAGAAGAUGGAGAAGAGUAUUUUUUUUUUUUAAUAAAUAUAAGAAGAUCAAUAAUAAGUUUUUCACUUCUCUUCGUCAUGAUUUGAACCCCUAAACCUAAUAAUUAAAGGAGAAGCGUUUUAUAAAUUGAGUUGGGCUUGGUUCGUUGUCAAGAUGGAGAAGAGUUUGGCUGAAACAAUUUCGCCAGAUCAAAUCAACGUCGCAGCAAAACAAUCAAAAUUAGAGGAUGUAAAUUUCGUGGGAGAAACAAAAACAUACAAACACAGAAACAAACAAGCAGCGAGAAAUAGGAAAUGGGUGAUGGCAGCGGCGCUAUUGCGGUGAAGGUGGUGAUAAUCAACACACAAUUCGUGGAGACUGAUGCCAGAAGCUUCAAAUCCGUCGUUCAGAGCCUCACGGGAAAGGACUCCACUAUUCCCGCCGCCCAGCCUCCUCCGAGGUUUCAGCCCGCCGCCGGAGCUUCUUACAAACCUCCGAUUUUGUCGCCCGGAAUGUCGUUUAAGGAUUUCGAGAGAAUGGUAAACGAGUUGCCUCCACUUGAUGAACUCACCAGAAUUUAUUGUGGAUAGCUGUCUCUAUAUUUUUUAAGAUUUUUUUGGGGGUAUUUUUUUUGGCUACUGGAGAUGGUGGAUUAUUUUGUCCUAGAUUCAUGAAUAUCUAUAUUGAUGGGAUAAGAAUAGACCAAAUAGUGGCCUUAAAGAAAAGGAACAGAACAAAUUGUAGUGCUUCGCUGCGGUAGAACAUCAUGUGUAUAUUUAAUUAAUUUAGUGAUUCUUUCAGAGCA